GCAAAUGCACAGAAGAGGAAGAGUAGAUUGGACCCGGCUUGAAGAGAGAAAGCGCCAUCGGCUGAAAGCGCUUUUAGGCAUGGACAGUUGAAAACUACCUUGGAGCAAGGGCCUCAGUAGCUUAUGUGAAAUGGUCUGCGUUUUGCCGGCGUUAACGGCUUUUUGAGUGGAUCUGCUGCUUGUUUGCGGCGAUCAAUUUAGGUGGAACCGCGAUUUCAAGCUCUCGUCCUAUUU
rnacentral:ncRNA from 1 species